rnacentral:RNase_P_RNA from 2 species
AAGCAAACUGGUUCUAUCGCUGUCCUUGUAUUAUAGGAAAGAGGAAAGUCCGGGCAACAUAGAGCAACACGCUUCCUAACGGGAAGGCUCUUAAACUUUGAGAGACAGAAAGUGCCACAGAAAAUAUACCGCUACAGUUUUCUGUAGUAAGGGUGAAAACGUGAGGUAAGAGCUCACGGUAUUGUAUGGCGACAUGCAUUACGGUAAACCUCGUGUGUUGAAAAACCAAAUAGGUUGCGAAGGUGAGGGCUGCUCGUCUUCUAUCGUCUCGACGGUAUUCGCAAUGGGUAGGUUGAUGGAGCUUACAUGUGAAUGUAAGUCUAGAUAAAUGAUAGAAAUCCUGCAAAGGAUACAGAACCCGGCUUACAAGGUUUGCUUCUUU